UAGGGGCUAUAGGAAGCAAUUGAAGGGAUUGGCAGAGUGGUGCAGCAAAAGAAGAGUAACAUCAAAUACCUGAGAAUGCUGCAUCUGCACUGACCGAUAAUACUCACUCUCCAUUGUGCCGUGCCUACAGAGGUCAGAGGUUGGAGCGGCAGCACGCUGAGGACGCCGAGGAACAAGGCUUUUACAGUGAACAUAAGAUGAUCUCUUACGCACCACGUCCCUGGUAGCCUACUAUGGGUAUUUGGUGUAUUUGAUCGUAUUGAAUUGUUAUUGCUGGGUGCACUCAACAUUAGCGAGCUGUGCUGAGCACUAUGGAGAACACAUGGAUGUGGAAGAGGCCCAGGCCAAUCGCAAGUAGAUGGCAUACAAGCUGCCCUCCGCUAUGAGCACCUAUCACUAAGAGUGGAUAAUAAAUAACAAUCAUGG